UACGAAGGGGGCUAGCGUUGCUCGGAAUCACUGGGCGUAAAGCGCACGUAGGCGGCUUUCUAAGUCAGGGGUGAAAUCCUGGAGCUCAACUCCAAAACUGCCUUUGAUACUGGAGAGCUUGAGUCCGGGAGAGGUGAGUGGAACUCCGAGUGUAGAGGUGAAAUUCGUAGAUAUUCGGAAGAACACCAGUGGCGAAGGCGGCUCACUGGCCCGGUACUGACGCUGAGGUGCGAAAGCGUGGGGAGCAAACAGG
rnacentral:rRNA from 1 species